GACGAACCGAGCGAACGUUGUUCGGAAUCACUGGGCUUAAAGGGCGCGUAGGCGGUUGCUCAAGUCCGUGGUGAAAUCCUCCGGCUCAACCGGAGAACUGCCUCGGAUACUGGGUGCCUCGAGGGUGGUAGGGGUAUGCGGAACUAUCGGUGGAGCGGUGAAAUGCGUUGAUAUCGAUAGGAACUCCGGUGGCGAAGGCGGCAUACUGGACCACCUCUGACGCUGAGGCGCGAAAGCCAGGGGAGCAAACGGG
rnacentral:rRNA from 1 species